rnacentral:rRNA from 1 species
UUAAGCGACCAAGCGUACACGGUGGAUGCCCUGGCAGUCAGAGGCGAUGAAGGACGUGCUAAUCUGCGAAAAGCGCCGGUAAGGUGAUAUGAACCGUUAUAACCGGCGAUGUCCGAAUGGGGAAACCCAGUGUGACUCGUCACACUAUCAUUAACUGAAUCCAUAGGUUAAUGAGGCGAACCGGGGGAACUGAAACAUCUAAGUACCCCGAGGAAAAGAAAUCAACCGAGAUUCCCCCAGUAGCGGCGAGCGAACGGGGAGGAGCCCAGAGCCUGAAUCAGCAUGUGUGUUAGUGGAAGCGUCUGGAAAGGCGCGCGAUACAGGGUGACAGCCCCGUACACAAAAGCGCAUAUGCUGUGAGCUCGAUGAGUAGGGCGGGACACGUGGUAUCCUGUCUGAAUAUGGGGGGACCAUCCUCCAAGGCUAAAUACUCCUGACUGACCGAUAGUGAACCAGUACCGUGAGGGAAAGGCGAAAAGAACCCCGGCGAGGGGAGUGAAACAGAACCUGAAACCGUGUACGUACAAGCAGUGGGAGCCCCACCACCAAAGCGUUUCGCUUUGCGUGGUGCGCAAAAUGCGUAACGACAGCACGAUUGCGGUUAACGGAGCGUAAGCGACGUUCAACACAAGAAUCAGGCAGUGGAGCGUUUUGGGGUGGGGUGACUGCGUACCUUUUGUAUAAUGGGUCAGCGACUUAUAUUCUGUAGCAAGGUUAACCGAAUAGGGGAGCCGGAGGGAAACCGAGUCUUAAUUGGGCGUUAAGUUGCAGGGUAUAGACCCGAAACCCGGUGAUCUAGCCAUGGGCAGGUUGAAGGUUGGGUAACACUAACUGGAGGACCGAACCGACUAAUGUUGAAAAAUUAGCGGAUGACCUGUGGCUGGGGGUGAAAGGCCAAUCAAACCGGGAGAUAGCUGGUUCUCCCCGAAAGCUAUUUAGGUAGCGCCUCGUGAAUUCAUCUCCGGGGGUAGAGCACUGUUUCGGCCAGGGGGCCAUCCCGGCUUACCAACCCGAUGCAAACUGCGAAUACCGGAGAAUGUUAUCACGGGAGACACACGGCGGGUGCUAACGUCCGUCGUGAAGAGGGAAACAACCCAGACCGCCAGCUAAGGUCCCAAAGUCAUGGUUAAGUGGGAAACGAUGUGGGAAGGCCCAGACAGCCAGGAUGUUGGCUUAGAAGCAGCCAUCAUUUAAAGAAAGCGUAAUAGCUCACUGGUCGAGUCGGCCUGCGCGGAAGAUGUAACGGGGCUAAACCAUGCACCGAAGCUGCGGCAGCGACACUGUGUGUUGUUGGGUAGGGGAGCGUUCUGUAAGCCUGUGAAGGUGUGUCGUGAGGCAUGCUGGAGGUAUCAGAAGUGCGAAUGCUGACAUAAGUAACGAUAAUGCGGGUGAAAAACCCGCACGCCGGAAGACCAAGGGUUCCUGUCCAACGUUAAUCGGGGCAGGGUGAGUCGACCCCUAAGGCGAGGCCGAAAGGCGUAGUCGAUGGGAAACAGGUUAAUAUUCCUGUACCUGGUGUUACUGCGAAGGGGGGACGGAGAAGGCUAUGUUGGCCGGGCGACGGUUGUCCCGGUUUAAGCGUGUAGGCUGGUUUUCCAGGCAAAUCCGGAAAAUCAAGGCUGAGGCGUGACGACGAGGCACUACGGUGCUGAAGCAACAAAUGCCCUGCUUCCAGGAAAAGCCUCUAAGCCUCAGGUAACAUCAGAUCGUACCCGAAACCGACACAGGUGGUCAGGUAGAGAAUACCAAGGCGCUUGAGAGAACCCGGGUGAAGGAACUAGGCAAAAUGGUGCCGUAACUUCGGGAGAAGGCACGCUGACACGUAGGUGAAGCGGUUUACCCGUGGAGCUGAAGUCAGUCGAAGAUACCAGCUGGCUGCAACUGUUUAUUAAAAACACAGCACUGUGCAAACACGAAAGUGGACGUAUACGGUGUGACGCCUGCCCGGUGCCGGAAGGUUAAUUGAUGGGGUCAGCGCAAGCGAAGCUCCUGAUCGAAGCCCCGGUAAACGGCGGCCGUAACUAUAACGGUCCUAAGGUAGCGAAAUUCCUUGUCGGGUAAGUUCCGACCUGCACGAAUGGCGUAAUGAUGGCCAGGCUGUCUCCACCCGGGACUCAGUGAAAUUGAACUCGCUGUGAAGAUGCAGUGUACCCGCGGCAAGACGGAAAGACCCCGUGAACCUUUACUAUAGCUUGACACUGAACACUGGUCCUUGAUGUGCAGGAUAGGUGGGAGGCUUUGAAGUGUGGACGCCAGUCUGCAUGGAGCCGUCCUUGAAAUACCACCCUUUAAUGGCUGGUGUUCUAACGUAGACCCGUGAACCGGGUUGCGGACAGUGUCUGGUGGGUAGUUUGACUGGGGCGGUCUCCUCCUAAAGCGUAACGGAGGAGCACGAAGGUUGGCUAAUCCUGGUCGGACAUCAGGAGGUUAGUGCAAUGGCAUAAGCCAGCUUGACUGCGAGCGUGACGGCGCGAGCAGGUGCGAAAGCAGGUCAUAGUGAUCCGGUGGUUCUGAAUGGAAGGGCCAUCGCUCAACGGAUAAAAGGUACUCCGGGGAUAACAGGCUGAUACCGCCCAAGAGUUCAUAUCGACGGCGGUGUUUGGCACCUCGAUGUCGGCUCAUCACAUCCUGGGGCUGAAGUAGGUCCCAAGGGUAUGGCUGUUCGCCAUUUAAAGUGGUACGCGAGCUGGGUUUAGAACGUCGUGAGACAGUUCGGUCCCUAUCUGCCGUGGGCGCUGGAGAACUGAGGGGGGCUGCUCCUAGUACGAGAGGACCGGAGUGGACGCAUCACUGGUGUUCGGGUUGUCAUGCCAAUGGCACUGCCCGGUAGCUAAAUGCGGAAGAGAUAAGUGCUGAAAGCAUCUAAGCACGAAACUUGCCCUGAGAUGAGUUCUCCCUGAGACUACAAGUCUCCUGAAGGAACGUUGAAGACGACGACGUUGAUAGGCCGGGUGUGUAAGCGCAGCGAUGCGUUGAGCUAACCGGUACUAAUGAACCGUGAGGCUUAACCUU